rnacentral:sRNA from 26 species
AUGUACUGAGAGCUGUGGAAAAGAGGGAAUAAAAAAACGCCCACAUAAGCGGGCGUUAUUGUUGCUU